rnacentral:rRNA from 1 species
GUGGGGAAUAUUGGACAAUGGGCGAAAGCCUGAUCCAGCCAUGCCGCGUGUGUGAAGAAGGUCUUCGGAUUGUAAAGCACUUUAAGUUGGGAGGAAGGGCAGUAAGUUAAUACCUUGCUGUUUUGACGUUACCGACAGAAUAAGCACCGGCUAACUUCGUGCCAGCAGCCGCGGUAAUACGAAGGGUGCAAGCGUUAAUCGGAAUUACUGGGCGUAAAGCGCGCGUAGGUGGUUUUGUAAGUUGAAGGUGAAAUCCCCGGGCUCAACCUGGGAACUGCCUCCAAAACUGCAUGACUAGAGUACGGUAGAGGGUAGUGGAAUUUCCUGUGUAGCGGUGAAAUGCGUAGAUAUAGGAAGGAACACCAGUGGCGAAGGCGACUACCUGGACUGAUACUGACACUGAGGUGCGAAAGCGUGGGGAGCAAACAGGAUUAGAAACCCUAGUAGUCC